AGUGAACGCUGGCGGUAGGCCUAACACAUGCAAGUCGAACGGCAGCACAGUAAGAGCUUGCUCUUACGGGUGGCGAGUGGCGGACGGGUGAGGAAUACAUCGGAAUCUACUUUUUCGUGGGGGAUAACGUAGGGAAACUUACGCUAAUACAGCAUACGACCUACGGGUGAAAGCAGGGGAUCUUCGGACCUUGCGCGAAUGAAUGAGCCGAUGUCGGAUUAGCUAGUUGGCGGGGUAAAGGCCCACCAAGGCGACGAUCCGUAGCUGGUCUGAGAGGAUGAUCAGCCACACUGGAACUUAGACACGGUCCAGAGUCCUACGGUAGGCAGCAGUGUGGAAUAUUAGACAAUGGGCGCAAGCCUGAUCCAGCCAUACCGCGUGGGUGAAGAAGGCCUUCGGGUUGUAAAGCCCUUUUGUUGGGAAAGAAAAGCAGCAGCUUAAUACCCCGCUGUUCUGACGGUACCCAAAGAAUAAGCACCGGCUAACUUCGUG
rnacentral:rRNA from 1 species